rnacentral:rRNA from 1 species
GAUGAACGCUGGCGGCGUGCCUAAUACAUGCAAGUCGAGCGAACAGAUGAGGGUCUUGCUCCUCUGACGUUAGCGGCGGACGGGUGAUUAACACGUGGAUAACCUACCUAUAAGACUGUUAUAACUUUAGGAAACCUGAGCUAAUACCGGAUAAUAUAUUGAACCGCAUGGUUCAAUAGUGAAAGACGGUUUUUCUGUCACUUAUAGAUGGAUCCUGGCGGCAUUAGCUAGUUGGUAAGAUAACGGCUUACCAAGGGAACGAUGGGUAGCCGCCCUGAGAGGGCGAACGGCAACACUGGAGAUGGGACACGCACCAGAAUAGGAAGGGAGGCAGCAGUCGGACAUCUGCCGGAAUGGGCGAAAGCCUGACGGAGCAAAGCCGCGUGAGUGAGGAAGGUCUACGGCUCGUAAAACACUGUUAUUAGAGAAGAAUAAAUGUGUAAGUAACGAUGCAAGUCUGGACGGUACCGAAGAAGAAAGCCGCGGCAAACUACGG